AGCCGAGACGCACCAUCUUAUCCUCAUCUCCCACCUCGCCUCCUCCCUGUCUCUGCUCAAAUCUCGCGUUCUCUUCGGCUCCAUGCCAAGUUCGUCCCCCCCCCCCCCCCCCCAAACACACACACACACACACAGAACACACACCACCCAUGGGUGGAUCGGCAACAACUGCAGGCUGGGGCGAUUGCGUUCUCUGCACUAAGUUCGUGGUGACGAUCGGUGGCAUUUUAUUCGAAUGAUCCCCUGUCGUCUCCCUUGGGUGGAUUUGGCGAAACUGCAGGCUGGGGGGCGUGCUCUUCUUCUCCGCCUGGAUCACGCUCGCGGGCUGGCGCCCCUCAAAAAGCUGGUGCGGCUGGCUCCUAACGGGUACCACAUGGACCGACAUGUAGCCGACCUACGUCCCAUUCCUGCUCCCAAUGACAGUAACGAGUUGUUCCUGUACCACGAGGGGUGGAAGAAGAUCGCUCAAUGGCAUGCCCGUGUUUUUCAUCCCACUGCAACAGCAGAAGCUACAAGAAGGUAAAGGCCUGCUUUGUCGUUUGUUAUGUAUGGUCAUGUAAAUCAAGCACUGCUACUUGCAGAGGUAAAAGAAACGAACGGCGGCAACGCACAAUGGCACAAAUCCAGAAAAAAAAUUGAUGACGACAAUUGAACUGUUGGCUCGCCUUUAAAUACCAGGCUCGACUGCCAUCAUCCACCGCAACUUCCCGACGCGUGAUUUGCCGCAGGCUGCUCCAAAAUCUGCUGCAGGGUGGAGGUACCAGAGUUAUGCACAUAGAAAUCAGCCCCAUCCGCUUGCUACAGAGUUAUCUGGUGGUAUCUCGAUCAUUCCACACGAGAUAAGCCCUGCCGCCAUCUUUGCUCACCUGAUUCGGAGCAGCAAUUUACUGCAGCUAGCGCAUGUAAUCAUGCCCACAUCCGGGUGAUUAUUUAUUGUGUAGAUGCACCCUAUUUUCUGACUUCCUGAGUUAUGGUGGAGCUUAGCUUUUAUGUGAGAUCGAAGGGAAUUCACUUCAGUGAUGGAUGAAAAAAUCAUUUGUGAGAGUUGGGUGUUUUAUGUAUUGUUAAUUGUUAAAGGAGAUUGAAAUUCCUGGCUUGGCGUUGGUGGUCAUAGUCUACGGCUCUCAAUUUUGUCCUCCUUCACAGAUUUAGUCCUUUACUAGCUUUCAGUGCUUCACUUUUGCCAUUGAAAAUGUAACCUUCAGGGAUUUUCAGAGAGCAACAUUCAGUGGUUCAUAUACAGGUCUGAUAGGUAUUGUGGCAUUCCAGUCCUUGGCCGUGGAGUUCAUUCUUGCAUAUGUAUUUUUUUAGUUCAUUCUUACAUAUGUAUUGUAUUCUUAGCAGCAAUAUUUUUUGAUGAUAUGUCCGACAUC